CUUAGCUGCUGAAGAAGGAGAGUCGCAUUCAGCCAGGGAUCACUGAGCAUUCAAAAGUCCAUCUGAGACCUGCUUUCAUUGCACUGCCUCGUGAGGAGCUGUAGGAGAAGAUAUCAUAACUAUUCCCCACUUCUAAUUGUUAGAAGCAACAGCUGUCUAUCAAGAACAAUCUGAGGAUUGUGCACAAAUUGAUUUGGUUCUAUCAAGUGCUGGCUUUCGAUUCCAGUCUGACUUCACUACCACAGGAGCUUCUUGCUCAGGCUUCUGUUCCGGCUCCAUUCUCUCCCUGCCAUUAUAAUGCCAUCCACUGCAGCACCAUCUCUUCAAUCAGAAAACAUUCAUGAUCUCAUUCCACCUGAAGCCAGUGCCUCUGUAAUGUGUAGCAGAAUCCUAUGGAGAAGUUGUAAAAACACAAAAUGUUGGCCCCACCCCAAGAGUUUCUGAUUUUGCAGGUCUGGAGAGGGCCUGUGAUACGUACUUCUAACAAGCUCCCAGGCGAUGCUAAUGUUGCUGGUCUAGAAACACACUUUGAGAGCCACUGUUUUACAAUGUAUUCACCCAGCUUAUGCAAUCAACUACUAUCACAGCAAAGUCCAAAGAAUGCUCCUUAUUUGUUUGUUAUACUGGAGUUUGGCUUGGCUAAAUAUUAUUUGAAACUGAAUGGC
rnacentral:lncRNA from 1 species